GUACAAUGGUGUGUGAAUUUCUUCAAACUGAAAUCACUAUGGAGAGUGAAAUCCAGCCUUUAAACCCUGAGUCACA
ensembl:snoRNA SNORD36 Small nucleolar RNA SNORD36